rnacentral:tRNA from 1 species
GCCUGCAUGGCUCAGUGGUUGAGCGUCUACCUUUGAACUAGAAGGUCAUGGGUUCGAUUCCCUGUCAGGGCA